AAGAUAAUACCGCAUAAGAUUGUAGUAUCGCAUGAUAUAGCAAUUAAAGGAGCAAUUCGCUAUAAGAUGGACCCGCGUCGCAUUAGCUAGUUGGUGAGGUAAUGGCUCACCUAGGCGACGAUCCCUAGCUGGUCUGAGAGGAUGACCAGCCACACUGGAACUGAGACACGGUCCAGACUCCUACGGGAGGCAGCAUG
rnacentral:rRNA from 1 species